AGUGAACGCUGGCGGUAGGCCUAACACAUGCAAGUCGAACGGCAGCACAGUAAGAGCUUGCUCUUACGGGUGGCGAGUGGCGGACGGGUGAGGAAUACAUCGGAAUCUACUUUUUCGUGGGGGAUAACGUAGGGAAACUUACGCUAAUACCGCAUACGACCUACGGGUGAAAGCAGGGGAUCUUCGGACCUUGCGCGAUUGAAUGAGCCGCUGUCGGAUUAGCUAGUUGGCGGGGUAAAGGCCCACCAAGGCGACGAUCCGUAGCUGGUCUGAGAGGAUGGUCAGCCACACUGGAACUGAGACACGGUCCAGACUCCUACGGGAGGCAGCAGUGGGGAAUAUUGGACAAUGGGGGCAAGCCUGAUCCAGCCAUACCGCGUGGGUGAAAAAGGCCUUCGGGUUGUAAAGCCCUUUUGUUGGGAAAGAAAAGCAGCAAGUUAAUACCCCGCUGUUCUGACGGUACCCAAAGAAUAAGCACCGGCUAACUUCGUA
rnacentral:rRNA from 1 species